AUUUAAAAAAGUUAUACCACGUCAGCUAUCCAGUCAGCAGCCCCGACCCAACCAGGACGCGCUAGGUGGCAGAGGCGCUGACGCAGGAGGCCACGCGGGGGGAGCCACGUGGGUGAUUCGCGUGCGCGUGAUCGAAUGGCUAAGAUCUGUUCCCGAGCGCACAGACGACACAGAUCAAAAACACACACGGACGGUCCAGAUUGCAGCGCGCACGGAAGAUCCAGA
rnacentral:lncRNA from 1 species